AGUAAUUGUCCAAUAGGUGGCAGCAGUGGCGCUGCACAGAGGAAAAACUGCUACACUGAUUCCUAAGAGAAGAAGACAGAAGAAUCGCGAACAGCAGAACGAUAGUGAGCUGAAGCCCCAUUUAGACUUUCCACAUUGAGAAAAAAAAAUAAAAUAUUACAUUUAAGAGCUAGUCAAACGGGUUUUUCUCACCAAACCUACUUCUAAGGCAGGAAUAAUAGAGCAAAGGGUCGAAAUUACGUCAAGGAGUUUACCUACUUGUGUGAUUUUUCUCCGGUGAGUGUUUCACACGUGUUUGUCAUUUGUGCUACUAGCAGACACAGUGUGAUAGAUGUGAUUAAUGAGUUGAGCACGUAAAAGUUAUCUUUAUUUUUCCAUUUUGCUGUAACUCAGUUGUAAAAUGCAUUGUGUGAAAAUGUAUUGAUGAGAUAUGUACUGCAUAAGCUAAAAACCAAUCGGAGUUGAACAUGAGUUUAAUGAUUUGAAAUGUUAUUUCAUGUUGUGUUAAAGCCACGUUAUUACGUGGUAUGCUAGUGCUCGAGUUUCAUGUAUGCCUUGAAUGUAUAGAUUGAAAAUAAGAAUUUAAGCUACUAUAGUAGAAUGAACUCAUGAAUAUGAGUUAUAUUUCCAGAUCUGGUCAAAUUUAUCGAGAGAGUAAUUGAAUGUUGCCCUGCUAUGCAGGUUGGUUUUUUUUGGGAUGCAGGAUUAGAGAGAGAGUGUUCCAUUGGACAAAUUCACCAUCGGACACGUGAGGCAGAAGAGCAGAGGGCGUGAGCAUCGUUUGGCCUGCAACACGAACUGCUUCUACUUAACCAUUCUCCAUUGCUUCGUACAGAUAAGCGCGAGAUUCCACCACACUAAAAAAAAAAAGCAUACUACCCGGGUAGAUGGACUUUGGUUUAUUAUUUUGAGGUUAUUUCAUCAGAGCUCUGAGGGGAUUUUAUUUUAUAUUUUUUUCAAUUUGUGUGAAAAAAUUUAAGACUAAGAGGAAUACUGAUUUCACAACAAAAAAAGAUAAACAAGGUUAUACUGGUUGAUAUUUGAUGUUCAAUAAAUGCCGGCUAUAUGUUCUGAGUAAA